rnacentral:rRNA from 1 species
UGGGGAAUAUUGGGCAAUGGGCGCAAGCCUGACCCAGCCAUGCCGCGUGAGUGAUGAAGGCCUUCGGGUCGUAAAGCUCUGUGGGGAGGGACGAAACAGCCUGUGGCUAACAUCCACGGGCCUUGACGGUACCUCCUUAGCAAGCACCGGCUAACUCCGUGCCAGCAGCCGCGGUAAUACGGAGGGUGCAAACGUUGCUCGGAAUCAUUGGGCGUAAAGCGCACGUAGGCGGCUCGAUAAGUCGGAUGUGAAAUGCCUCGGCUCAACCGAGGACGUGCAUUCGAAACUGCCGAGCUUGAGUAUGGAAGAGGGUCGCGGAAUUCCCGGUGUAGAGGUGAAAUUCGUAGAUAUCGGGAGGAACACCAGUGGCGAAGGCGGCGACCUGGGCCAAUACUGACGCUGAGGUGCGAAAGCGUGGGGAGCAAACAGGAUUAGAUACCCCGGUAGUCC